rnacentral:rRNA from 1 species
CAGCAGCCACGGGAAUACAGAGGGUGCAAGCGUUAAUCGGAAUUACUGGGCGUAAAGCGCGCGUAGGUGGUUUGUUAAGUUGGAUGUGAAAGCCCCGGGCUCAACCUGGGAACUGCAUCCAAAACUGGCAAGCUAGAGUACGGUAGAGGGUGGUGGAAUUUCCUGUGUAGCGGUGAAAUGCGUAGAUAUAGGAAGGAACACCAGUGGCGAAGGCGACCACCUGGACUGAUACUGACACUGAGGUGCGAAAGCGUGGGGAGCAAACAGGAUUAGAGACCCCUGUAGUCCCUGUCUCUUAUAC